rnacentral:rRNA from 1 species
AUCUGCAGUCGAGGGGCAGCAGGACUGUAGCAAUACAGUUGCUGGCGACCGGCAAACGGGUGCGGAACACGUACGCAACCUUCCUUCAAAUGGGGGAUAGCCCACCGAAAGGUGGAUUAAUACCCCGUAACAUUUUCCGGUGGCAUCACCGGAUCAUUAUAGCUCCGGCGUUUGAAGAUGGGCGUGCGGCUGAUUAGGUAGUUGGCGGAGUAACAGCCCACCAAGCCUACGAUCAGUAACUGGUGUGAGAGCACGACCAGUCACACGGGCACUGAGACACGGGCCCGACUCCUACGGGAGGCAGCAGUAAGGAAUAUUGGUCAAUGGACGCAAGUCUGAACCAGCCAUGCCGCGUGGAGGAUGAAGGUCCUCUGGAUUGUAAACUUCUUUUAUCGGAGAAGAAACCCUCAAAUUCUUUUGGGGUUGACGGUACCCGAUGAAUAAGCACCGGCUAACUCCGUGCCAGCAGCCGCGGUAAUACGGAGGGUGCAAGCGUUAUCCGGAUUCACUGGGUUUAAAGGGAGCGUAGGUGGGGUGGUAAGUCAGUGGUGAAAUCUCCGGGCUUAACCCGGAAACUGCCGUUGAUACUAUCAUUCUUGAAUAUUGUGGAGGUAAGCGGAAUAUGUCAUGUAGCGGUGAAAUGCUUAGAUAUGACAUAGAACACCGAUAGCGAAGGCAGCUUGCUACACAAUUAUUGACACUGAGGCUCGAAAGCGUGGGGAUCAAACAGGAUUAGAUACCCUGGUAGUCCACGCCCUAAACGAUGGAUACUCGACAUACGCGAUACACAGUGUGUGUCUGAGCGAAAGCAUUAAGUAUCCCACCUGGGAAGUACGACCGCAAGGUUGAAA